rnacentral:rRNA from 1 species
GACGAACGCUGGCGGCGUGCUUAACACAUGCAAGUCGAGCGGUAAGGCCCUUUCGGGGGUACACGAGCGGCGAACGGGUGAGUAACACGUGGGUGACCUGCCCUCAGCUCUGGGAUAAGCCUGGGAAACCGGGUCUAAUACUGGAUAUGACUCCAUGACGCAUGUUGUGGGGUGGAAAGCCUUGUGCGGCUGAGGAUGGGCCCGCGGCCUAUCAGCUUGUUGGUGGGGUGANGGCCUACCAAGGCGACGACGGGUAGCCGGCCUGAGAGGGCGACCGGCCACACUGGGACUGAGACACGGCCCAGACUCCUACGGGAGGCAGCAGGUGGGGAAUCUUGCGCAAUGGGCGAAAGCCUGACGCAGCGACGCCGCGUGAGGGAUGACGGCCUGGUU